rnacentral:misc_RNA from 1 species
CCAUCUCUCGGUUUUUUUUUUUUUUUUUUAAUAUAAAUAAAAGGAAACUUUUCUACUUGCCUAGUCUGAGCUUAAUUCAAAUUCAAUUCAAAUUCACUCCAAAUAAAAUCCCAAACGCAAAUGUACCCCAAAUUGUAGCACCUUAGCCCCAUUCCCUCUCUCAUCUCCCCUUCCUCCUUGCUUCCACCUCAUCACCCUUUUCUCCCACUCGCUGCUCCUUCACUCUUUUUCUCUUUUGAUUUCCUUCCAUUUCCACCGAGCUCUCCACUUUCCUUCUUUUCCUUCCUUUGUUCUGUGUAUGGAAUGACGGACUAUCGUAUACCACCGACGAUGAAUCUGUGGACGGACGACAACGCGUCAGUCAUGGAAGCCUUCAUGAACUCCGAUCUCGCCGCUCUUUGGCCGCCGCCUCAAUCCGCUGCUUCCACUUCCACUUCUGCUCCUGCGCCCCACAACGCCGACUCCAACAGGAACACCCUCAUCAACCAAUCUCAGCCGCUCUUUAAU